AUGAACGCUGGCGGCGUGCCUAAUACAUGCCAGUCGAGCGCACAGACGAGGAGCUUGCUCCUCUGACGUUAGCGGCGGACGGGUGAGUAGCACGUGGAUAACCUACCUAUAAGACUGGGAUAACUUCGGGAAACCGGAGCUAAUACCGGAUAAUAUAUUGAACCGCAUGGUUCAAUAGUGAAAGACGGUUUUGCUGUCACUUAUAGAUGGAUCCGCGCCGCAUUAGCUAGUUGGUAAGGUAACGGCUUACCAAGGCAACGAUGCGUAGCCGACCUGAGAGGGUGAUCGGCCACACUGGAACUGAGACACGGUCCAGACUCCUACGGGAGGCAGCAGUAGGGAAUCUUCCGCAAUGGGCGAAAGCCUGACGGAGCAACGCCGCGUGAGUGAUGAAGGUCUUCGGAUCGUAAAACUCUGUUAUUAGGGAAGAACAAAUGUGUAAGUAACUAUGCACGUCUUGACGGUACCUAAUCAGAAAGCCACGGCUAACUACGUG
rnacentral:rRNA from 1 species